UCACAUUCUGCAAAUGGGAAAAAUCAAGAACCAAGUCAAUGGAGAAGUAAUGUAUUUAAAAGAUUUCGGUACCCAACCAAUUCUUGGUUCGAGUACGACGUUGUUCAAGUUUUCAACGCAUCAAAGCCAGGGAGUCAUGAUAGGGUCUAUAAGUCUGCGUCUGCAGCCAUGAAAGGCAGUAAAACUUUUGAAGAUCUGCUAAAGUCUGACAACGACGUAACAUUUGGAAGGGGAAAUCGAGUAAAAA